rnacentral:rRNA from 1 species
CCUACGGGAGGCAGCAGUAGGGAAUCUUCCGCAAUGGACGAAAGUCUGACGGAGCAACGCCGCGUGAGUGAUGAAGGCUUUCGGGCCGUAAAACUCUGUUGUUAGGGAAGAACAAGUGCUAGUUGAAUAAGCUGGCACCUUGACGGUACCUAACCAGAAAGCCACGGCUAACUACGUGCCAGCAGCCGCGGUAAUA